rnacentral:rRNA from 1 species
AGUGAACGCUGGCGGCAGGCCUUACACAUGCAAGUCGAACGGCAGCGCAGUCUUAGCUUGCUCUGACGGGUGGCGAGUGGCGGAUGGUAGAGCAGUACAUCGCCAUCUACUUGUUAGUGGGGGGUAAAGUACGGAAACUUACGCCAAUCCCGCUUACGACCUACGGGUGAGAGCUUGGGAUCUUCGGCCAUUGCGCGAGUGAAUGAGCCGAUGGCGGAUUAGCUAGUUGGAGGGGUAAAGGUCUACCAAGGCGACGAUCUGUAGCUGGUCUGAGAGGACGACCAGCCACACUGGGACUGAGACACGGCCCAGACUCCUACGGGAGGCAGCAGUGGGGAAUUUUGGACAAUGGGCGCAAGCCUGAUCCAGCAAUGCCGCGUGUGUGAUGAAGGCCUUCGGGUUGUAAAGCACUUUUGGCGGGAAAGAAAAGGACUGUGCCAAUACCACGGUUCGAUGACGGUACCCGAAGAAUAAGCACCGGCUAACUACGUG